rnacentral:rRNA from 1 species
CACCAGCGCCACGAGUGGCUAUCGCGAUUAUUGGGCCUAAAGCGUCCGUAGUCGGCUCUGUGCAUCUUCUGUGAAAUCGUUGCGCUUAACGUAACGGCACGCGGGAGACACGGCUAAGCUUGAGACCGGGAGGCGUCGAGGGUAUUCCAAGGGGACCGGUAAAAUGGUAUAAUCCUUGGAGGACCACCUGUGGCGAAGGCGGCUAACUGGAACGAACCUGACGGUGAGUAACGAAAGCCAGGGGCGCGAA